AUUGAACGCUGGCGGCAUGCCUUACACAUGCAAGUCGAACGGCAGCGGGGACUUCGGUCCGCCGGCGAGUGGCGAACGGGUGAGUAAUGUAUCGGAACGUACCAUUCAGUGGGGGAUAACUAUCCGAAAGGAUAGCUAAUACCGCAUAUUCUGUGAGCAGGAAAGCAGGGGAUCGCAAGACCUUGCGCUGAUUGAGCGGCCGAUAUCAGAUUAGCUAGUUGGUGAGGUAACGGCUCACCAAGGCUACGAUCUGUAGCGGGUCUGAGAGGAUGAUCCGCGACACUGGGACUGAGACACGGCCCAGACUCCUACGGGAGGCAGCAGUGGGGAAUUUUGGACAAUGGGCGCAAGCCUGAUCCAGCCAUGCCGCGUGAGUGAAGAAGGCCUUCGGGUUGUAAAGCUCUUUCGGCCGGGAAGAAAUCGCAUCAGCUAAUACCUGGUGUGGAUGACGGUACCGGAAUAAGAAGCACUGGCUAACUACGUGCCAGCCGCCGCAGUAAAAC
rnacentral:rRNA from 1 species